rnacentral:sRNA from 1 species
AUUUUAAGAGUUUUUAAAAUGAUUUACAAUGGUUUUUAGCAACUACCAAAACUUUUAAAAAAUUUACAAAGAUUUUUAAAAGCAUUUUUUUGGCUGGGAAAAAAAUUUUACGAGAAAACAUUUUUGGCGGGAAAUUUUUUUUUUGGCGGGAAAAAAAGUUUGGCGGAAAUUUUUUGUUUGGCGGGAAAAAUAAAUUUUGGUACAUGUUAUUAUUAAAUGAGGGUAAUUUGGUCAUUCUGUUCAAUAGAAGGGAUAUUUUUAAAAAUAAACAAUAUAAAAUGGUAUUGUUACAAAAGGGUAGUAAAAAAAGGGUAGUUUUGCAAAUCUCCCUCGAGAAUUUGCAAUUUCUCUCUCAUAGCAUAACAUGUCUUUUUUUUAGUAAAUU